GGGUCGAUAGCUCAGCCGGUUAGAGCCGCGGAUUUUUAAUCCGAAGGUCCAGGGUUCGAAUCCCUGUCGACCCA
rnacentral:tRNA from 2 species